rnacentral:sRNA from 1 species
UGGAAUUGACAGCGGCCUUGUUGGCAG